GACGAACGCUGGCGGCGUGCUUAACACAUGCAAGUCGAACGGUAAGGCCCUUCGGGGUACACGAGUGGCGAACGGGUGAGUAACACGUGGGUGAUCUGCCCUGCACUUCGGGAUAAGCCUGGGAAACUGGGUCUAAUACCGGAUAGGACUCCUGGCUUCAUGGUUGGGGGUGGAAAGCUUUUGCGGUGUGGGAUGGGCCCGCGGCCUAUCAGCUUGUUGGUGGGGUAAUGGCCUACCAAGGCGACGACGGGUAGCCGGACUGAGAGGGUGACCGGUCACACUGGGACUGAGAUACGGCCCAGACUCCUACGGGAGGCAGCAGUGGGGAAUAUUGCACAAUGGGCGAAAGCCUGAUGCAGCGACGCCGCGUGAGGGAUGACGGCCUUCGGGUUGUAAACCUCUUUCAGCAGGGAAUAAGCGAAAGUGACGGUACCUGCAGAAGAAGCACCGGCUAACUACGUGCCAGCCGCCGCAGUAA
rnacentral:rRNA from 1 species